AGAGUUUGAUCCUGGCUCAGAUUGAACGCUGGCGGCAGGCCUAACACAUGCAAGUCGAGCGGCAGCGCGGGUACUUGUACCUGGUGGCGAGCGGCGGACGGGUGAGUAAUGCCUAGGAAUCUGCCUGGUAGUGGGGGAUAACGCUCGGAAACGGACGCUAAUACCGCAUACGUCCUACGGGAGAAAGCAGGGGACCUUCGGGCCUUGCGCUAUCAGAUGAGCCUAGGUCGGAUUAGCUAGUUGGUGAGGUAAUGGCUCACCAAGGCGACGAUCCGUAACUGGUCUGAGAGGAUGAUCAGUCACACUGGAACUGAGACACGGUCCAGACUCCUACGGGAGGCAGCAGUGGGGAAUAUUGGACAAUGGGCGAAAGCCUGAUCCAGCCAUGCCGCGUGUGUGAAGAAGGUCUUCGGAUUGUAAAGCACUUUAAGUUGGGAGGAAGGGCAGUUACCUAAUACGUAUCUGUUUUGACGUUACCGACAGAAUAAGCACCGGCUAACUCUGUGCCAGCAGCCGCGGUAAU
rnacentral:rRNA from 1 species